AAUAAUUUAAUUAACAAAAUCAAACUAGUAAUAUAAAUUUAUAUUUUAGCUAGAACAAAUAUACGUAUAAAAAUAGUAUAUGGUAGAGUGUAAUGGUAAAUUAUUAGUAGAUUACAGCUAAAAAUUCUGAUAUUUGAUAAAAUGUAAAAACUUAUAUUAAAAAUUAGAAAAGUUGAUAUAAAUAAUGUUCAUCAUUCUAUUCGCUUUCGCAAGAAAUAAAAAAAGCAUAAGACUAAAGAUAUUUAUGUAUAUAAUGUAACGUUAUUUAAAACCACACUGUUCCCGGAUGAAUAAUAAUAGAAAAAAAUAAUCUUUCAAGUCACGUUUCAUGCUCGUUAUAUUAACGUACAAGGAUCUAUUAUAAAUCACGACUCCCCCGACUCGGUGAAAGCUAAUCCCAGGCAAAGCUUUAGAUAUUCUUAACAAAUCACAGUCGAUUGCACGGUUGCGACCCGGCACUUAACGAACUUAUCUCGGCUCGCCCCGAGAGAAUUGAUCACCGAGAUAUAAGACUUCCGGCACGAAUUUCCGAAGCCACCUCGGCCAGCUCCGGCUACGUGAUCUCAUAAGUAACUGCACAAAAACACGCCUAAUCCAUUUUCCGCGGCCAUGAUGCACCAAGCACGUGAUCACUAUCGUUUUCCUCCAUUUUGCAAUGCUUUUUUAUUCAUUCGCGAUUCUAUAGAUUCUGCAAACGGAUAGCGCAUCAUUUUAUUUCUGUUACCUUUUAUUCAUGCGCUUGACGGGCAAGCGGAUUAAAUAUUGUAAAACGUCAAAAAAAGUCGUCCAAUAUUCUUUUAGGAGUAUAGCAUUAUAGUAACGCGUGGAUUGCUUGCUCUCUCUCUCUCUCUCUCUCUCUCUCUCUCUCACGUUUAUGUUUUGCGUGGCAGAGGACAAAUCGUAAAACUAUAAUCUCAUAUAAUUGACGGUAAUUUCUUGAUUUUGUUUUUGAUUUCAAAAUCAUUUCGCACAUGCCACGCAUGUCCUUUCAUAUGUGUAAUUUUACAUUUUUGAUGUUUGUAACAAGUACUGAACAUCUUAAACAGUAGAUAAAAAUUCAGAACGCCGCAUCAACCGUAUUGUUAACCAGACGGUUUCGUGCAUUUUUGCAUAAUAGAUUCGUGAACCAUUACGCGUCGUAGCCAGCUGACGUGCCGAAUUCCCAGGUAUUAUUAUCUCGCGUGUAACAGAUGUCGCGAAUUUCCAGAAAUUGCUCUCGAUUUCUUGAUAAAUUAAUCGUAGAAUUGGGUAGCGCCAAAUCGGGCCAACCGUUUCCUACUAUUGGGUUAUCGUGUAAUUUUAACGUCGCUCGCCAAAAAUUAAACUCAUCCUACUGAUUCAGUAUUAGGACGCUCUCAAAUUUUUCUGAGUGGAUACAAUGAAAUAGCAACAGAUUUCAUUUUUUUUAGCAAUUGAUACGUUUUGAAGCAGUCGUAUAAUCUUUCUCUCCAAUUGGACAAUUCCCGCUUGUCCUGCACUUCUUUCCAAUUACAGUUCCUGAUCAUUACGAGAACAAAUUGUAUCUCGUUACAGCUUCAUAUAAUCGUAUCUCGAAAAAUGUAAUAGAAAGCUGUGUGAUUUCGCAAAGUCUCUAAUACCAGGUACCGCAAGAUAAUUGUCAUUAUGCAAUUAUUGCGUAAUCUGAUCGCAGUAUAACUCAGUAUGCUUUUUCGUUUAACAUUAUUAUUUAGAAAUGUUCAGAAAUGGAGAUUACGAUUCUAGUAACAAGAAAUGAUAUAACUUAACACAAGAUACAGUUUAAAAAUCUUGUUAUGUUUUAUAUUAUUUUUUUCCGAUUUUUAACAAAAUCAUAUGUCUUUCAAAUCGGCAUGUUUUUUUAAGUCGACACAGUUCGUAACACAUGUUCAAUACAUUAACUCUGUUUCGUACAUUAGCUACGUUUUAUUUUGGGGCCAACAACACAUUUAAGAAACUAUUCGAAAGACCGUACUAAUAAUGAAACUUGUGAAACGCGAAGAUAAUUACAGUAUGGAUAAAGCAACAGCGGAAUAUUCAUUACGUUAGAUAGUAAACGUUGUCAGAGUCGCAUACUAAAUAAAUAGGGGAAAAAAAAAACAUUUUCAUCUGUCCUUUCCAUUAUUUGAAUGAAAAAACCUGUUAGAAGUUAAAAUAACCUAUCAGUAUGGCAAAACCAAAAAUGAACGACACGAAAAAGACAUCUCUUUGAAUGCAGGUACGGUGAUGUACGCGCUGAUGGGUGCGAGGUGGCUUGUUUCCGUUAUGAUAGCACAGCAUGCAGUAUACAUCGCCGUGUAAGCUAAUUACCGCGGUAUUUUAGCCGUGCGAGACCACUCACCUCACGGACUACGAAAUUACGCUGCGAGUUUUGACAAGGAAAUAUUCCAAAACGGAUAUGAUUUAUUAUCACCACAAACAGUUGCCGUAGUUAUAUUUUCAUAAAGAUAAUUAUUAAAAUUUUCAUUAAUUUCAUCAUUGCUUAUAUGCUAGUAGAUGCAUUCAAACAAAAAAUAAGAUUCACUAUUUAACAUUGUUAACUUUUUCUCACUCAUUUAAUCUAUGAUUAAACAAUAGCUAAUAGAAAUCAGCUAGCUCAGCUUGGCUCCGUGAUUAAUUUAUUGGAAACUUAACAACAAUUUCUGUUUAAAAUAAUUAAUUAAAAUGCACCAAAGAAUCUCGUUAACACAUUUUCGCGUAUACAUUGUUCUAAGGGCUUCAAACAACAUUUUUUAAUUUAAUUAUAAUGCUUUUCGCAAAUACUCUACGCAAAUGUUAUUUGCAAUUUUAUUCAAAAUAUCUGGUUAUCUUCGAAAUUUCUCUUCAAGUUGAAAUAGUGCCCGUGUCAAAUAGUGCUUGACACUAGCUAUUAUUUAAUCGCUUGGUAUGAAUUAGUACAGAUCGUUAUGCGAGACAGCGCGGAAGAGAGGGCGCCAAGACGUGGAGAAGAGAAAGGACCUAUGAGAAAAUGGUCAGACCGUUAGGAAGAGGGGUCGCAGAGUAGGAGCGGAGAUUGGGAGAAGGGAGGAGGCUUGAUACGUUCGAGGAGGGUAGCGUUGAUGCAGUCGCACCAGCCAGUCAGUGGCUGCUACGGCACAGCGACGCGCGCGCGUGCUCCUUUUCAAAUCGUUUUCGGGCCUAACAAACGCAAUAAACGAAAAAUGUUUUCGUCGGAAUAUGACACAAAACUUAUUACUUGUUAUGACACGAUAAUCCCGUUAAUUAAAUAAUCGCCAAUUGUACCCACCGAUGCUGUCUCUCGUUUCCCGCCGAUCGCGAUUACGAGUUUUCUGCGAAAUCGGUGUGUUACAUGCGUGACAAAAAGGAUGACAGCUUCUUGCAAAGUAUCCCUCUAAUUUUUUUUUUAUACGUGCAAAAUUAAAAUUCAUAAAGCUCCGUAAAAAAGAAUAAUGUGAGAUAAAGAUUAAUGUGUUGAAUUAAUACUAUUGUUUUUCUUCACAAUAACAUUUCAAAUGAAGAUAAUAAGUAGGUAAUCAAAUCGUUGACAAAGAGAUGCUUUUGAAGAUCUGAUGACAAAAUAUCCUCAGGCUUGCAAUUCGAUUGCACGUUUAUCUCACGCGUAUGUGACAUCCACAAUUGAUUGCCAUGGGAUGGUGAGCAACAGGUCGUCUAGGAGUGACACUUGGUCAUGUAUCUAUCGAACGAUCACGCGUGAGAUCAUAAAACCUUCCGUAUAAGUCAUAACGAAUGUCC
rnacentral:misc_RNA from 1 species